UCCCACGGUGCCCAAGCUGGCCUGGGUGAAGGAGGAGGAGAAGGAGGAAAGCCCUGGGGCUGCUCCAACACAGCAGCCUGAAGAGGUGCAGCAGGUGCAGCCCCCGCAGGAGGAUGCAGGCCAGGAGCGGACAGAAGAGCAGCUCCGUGCCCGUGGCCGCUUCCGCAGGGCAGCACAGCUGGUUUGCAGAUUCAUCAGGG